GUCUUUUUGUUAAUUAUUUAAGGUUUGGCCUGCUCCAUGAUUAGAUUAAAUAGCCGCAGUAUUUUGACUGUGCCAAGGUAGCAUAAUCAUUAGUUUUUUAAUUGAAAGCUGGAAUGAAUGGUCGGAUGAGGAAGAAUCUGUCUCAUUUUAAUUUUUUUAGAAUUUUAUUUUUGAGUUAAAAAGCUUAAAUUUUAUAGAAAGACGAGAAGACCCUAUNGAGUUUUAUAAGUUGUGGUUUAAUUAUUUUAGGGUUUUAAUAUGAUUAUUCUGUUACUUGUUUUGUUGGGGUGACAUAAGAAUUGAGAUAACUUCUUAUUAUUCUUACAUUGAUUUAUGAAUGAAUGAUCCUGAGUUUUGGAUUUAAAGAAUAAAUUACCUUAGGGAUAACAGCGUAAUUCUUUUGGAGAGUUCUAAUCGAUAAAAAGAAUUGCGACCUCGAUGUUGGAUUAAAGUUAAGUUUUGGUGCAGAAGCUUAAAUUUUGAGUCUGUUCGACUCUUAAAACUUUACAUGAUCUGAGUUUAAACCGGCGUGAGCCAGGUUGGUUUCUAUCUUUUAUAGAUAAAAUAUUUUAGUACGAAAGGACCAGAUAUUUGAAUAAUAUUUUUUAUUUGAAUAGAAUUGUUAUUUUGGCAGACUAGUGCAAUGGAUUUAGAAUCCUUAUAUGUAAUUAUAUUACAGAUAACAAUUUAUUUAAUUGAUUUGAUUUUGUUGUUUAUUUCUGCGUUAGUAUUAAUUGUUUGUGUUUUAGUCGGUGUAGCUNUUUUGACUCUUUUAGAGCGUAAGAUUUU
rnacentral:rRNA from 1 species